rnacentral:lncRNA from 1 species
AGAAAAGAAAAGAAAAAGAGGCACGCGAGGCGUUUUUUGAGAGGCGCGAGUGUCUUUCAAAAUAGGCUAUUUGGUGGGUUAGAACCCACAGAAAUUGGAUACACGCGCUAAACGCAAGAUGGGUGAGAGUGGGUAUGAAACCGCAAGAUCGGUGAGAAUGGGUAUGACAUGGAGCGCUCUGAUUGGCUAAAAAACUCAAAAUAGUAGACAUGUAGCUCCUCCCUUCCUCCUCUCAUAAUAGUAGUUAUUAUUACUUCGUCUAGGCGAGAAUGAAAUUAAGAUUUUUUUCAAUCUGAAAGUUGGUGUUUUUAGAGAUAUACUUCUUGGGAAAUCUUACAGAAACAGGUAACAUCUAGCGGUAUACAUAAGCACUUAGAAGGUGUUAAAGUGAUCCACAGGAUUGCACACAAGUGGUCGAGCCAUCUCAGCAGAAAAACCAGAACCUUGGCUCAGAUCGACCUUCUGUCCAUCAACACUCUUCCAGUCGAAGCGCUGCACCAAUGAACCCACACCUAUAUGCAUCACAUUCAUGGCAAGGGAUGCUCCUGGACAUCCUCUCCUUCCACUCCCAAAUGGAAGGUAACGGAAAUUCUGCCCCUUGAACUGCAUCUGGUGUUCACCUAUCUUCUCUUCAGAGCUCUCUAGAAAUCUCUCGGGGAUGAAUCUGUCUGCAUCUGCCCAUAGUUCUGAAUCUCGCAUGAUUGCAUAAACAUUUACGAGUACACGGGUUUUUGACUUGACAAGGCACCCGUUCACCUGGCAGUCUUCUGCGCAUUCUCUUAUGAUCAGAGGAGCUGAAGGGUGGAGCCUCAGAGUUUCCCUUAGGACAGCUCGGAGGUAAGGAAGGUUAGGAACAUCUGAUUCUUUCACCAGUCUUUUACUUCCAACAACGUUAUUGAUCUCUUCUCGUAACUUGUUGAACGCUUGUGGAUGGUUUAUUAGUUGCCCCAUUGCCCACUGCAUUGCUGCUGCUGAUGUGGGAGGAAACAUACCAGCAGGAAAGAUUUCAUGUCAUUCCUCGUUAUCUUCAUUUCAGCAGUGGGAUCUCUGUCAUAUUUCUCCAUUACAGCCACUAACUUCUUCCCGUUCCCAGAAAAGUCCAUUACUUUCAAUGGCCCCAACACAUCUCCUACACUGAUCUUCCCCGCAAGCUCCAAACUUUUCUUCACCAGCUCCCUUAUCUCUUCUGCUUCAUUAUCAGUACCUGAACACCUGGUGCUCAUCGCCAUCCUGCAGAUUACAUUGUUGGUGUAUUUUAUGAACUGGCUACUCAAGUCACAAGGCAACCCUUCUCUGCAACACUUAGCCACAGAAUCGACCAGCUUCAGUUUCUCCUCCUCACGGAUGUCAGCGAAUUUCUCCAGCUGUGGAACAGCAAGAAGCUUAGUCAUGCACAGCUUCUUCAUGAACCUCCAGUAAUCUCCAUACUGCGCAAGGACAAACCUGGACCCUCUAUACUUGAAAUACUCUGCAGAACCAAACUCAGGUCUCGAGGAGAAAUUAAGCUCUUGCUCCUUGAAAAUCUCUCUCGCCACCGAAGAGCUUGAGACCACAACGCACUUAGAAGCACCGAGACGUAUCUCCAUGAGUGGGCCAUACUUGUGAGCUAAACUUUGGAAUGAGACAGGCAAUACUUUGCCUAUCAAAUGAAGGUGGCCAAUGAAUGGUAAAGCUGGAGGGCUCUGUGGCAGCUUCGUAGCAGCCAAUGAACCUUGCUCUUUCAAGAACCAUUUGAAGAGAGCAUAAAGCAUGAAAGGAAAAGCUAAGGAUGUGAUGAGAAUAAUUAGUUUAGUGUUUAGUUUUAAAUCCAUUGCAGGCAGGUAUUGAUACAAUUUUUGAAGUAUGCUUGUAUUUAUAUCCAGACACAGACGAAUCUUGUUUAUUAGAUGCUCAUUGUAAAGAAAACAAAACAACAGAUGUGACCUUUUACCAAAUAUAAAAUGUGUGACGUAACAUAUAUGAAAA